CUUGCUCAGUGACUGUGGUGAGGACUGGAGAUUCCUUCCUCUUUCUCAGAGGCAACCAGCUUUGCCUCAGAGGAGGAAGGACCUGCGCGAGCUGAGAGCGGCUCCCUGCCCGUCUGCCACCAAAGGGAACUCUCUCAGCUGCCCUGCUCUUUCCCAGUCUCCAUCAUAAUUACUGGAUGGAGGCCCACGGAGAAGAGCUUUUGAGUGACAGCCGACUUUCCUAGAGAUUCUAAACUUUCACAGAGCCUUCACUCAGCCUUUAACAAUAUGUUAACAUUUUAGAUAUUUUCAGAUUACUCACUUUUAUUGUGGCUGCCUCUUCCUUCCAUGUUGUACCAAAGGAAAAAAACUCCAGGUAUCCUGUGUCCUCGGAGGGACUUUGGAUUCAAUGUGCCUGAUUGCCUGGGGAACUCAGCAUCCUGAAUAAGAUAAAUAAAAGAAAUACUCAACCGGAGAAAGGAAAGAAAAGAGUGGAAAGUUAGCCACGACAUUAGCUUAUGGAUUCUCCAGGACCUUCUG
rnacentral:lncRNA from 1 species